rnacentral:tRNA from 1 species
GCCUGGCUGGCUCAGUCAGUAGAGCAUAUGACUCUUGAUCAUGGGGUUGCAAGUUCAAGCUCUAUGUUGGGUG